rnacentral:tRNA from 1 species
CGGGCGUUUGCACAUGGCGAUCGAGUGCCACAGUUGCUUCCAGUGGCUGAUGCCGACCAUCGAUCAGUUCCGCGAUGCCUGGCC